rnacentral:rRNA from 1 species
GGGUAGGCGUAGGCGGCUGAUUAAGUCAGCGGUGAAAGGUAGCAGCUUAACUGUUUUACAUGCCGUUGAUACUGGUUAGCUUGAGUUGACAGAAGGCAGAUAGAAUUCCUGGUGUAGCGGUGAAAUGCUUAGAUACCAGGAGGAAUACCGAUUGCGAAGGCAGUCUGCUGCAGUCACACUGACGCUGAGGCUCGAAGGUGCGGGGAUCAAACAGGAUUAGAUACCCCUGU